AUGCACCUGUGUGGUUCUUCGUG
rnacentral:misc_RNA from 1 species